rnacentral:rRNA from 1 species
GUGCCAGCAGCCGCGGUAAUACAGAGGUGGCAAGCGUUGUUCGGAAUUACUGGGCGUAAAGGGCGCGUAGGCGGUCCCGUCAGUCCCUUGUGAAAUCCCCCGGCUCAACUGGGGAACUGCAAGGGAUACAGCGGGGCUUGAGUUCGGGAGAGGGAAGCGGAAUUCCGGGUGUAGCGGUGAAAUGCGUAGAUAUCCGGAGGAACACCGGUGGCGAAGGCGGCUUCCUGGACCGAUACUGACGCUGAGGCGCGAAAGCUAGGGGAGCAAACGGGAUUAGAAACCCCGGUAGUCC